UAUUCUGAAAUACUUUCUCAAAUCACUUCAUUAGUUUAGAUUAUGGGUUAUUUCAUUCCUUUAUUUCAGUAUCAGGAUAAUUUUCAUAACUGAGGAGAUGGACACAAACAUGAGACAGCCCAGGCUGUUUAUCUUGAAACUUCAGUCACAAGAACUUUCACUUUCCAAGUCAUGAUCAGAAGCAGCCUUCCCCAAGAGCUGCUGUCCUGUUCCCCACAGAGCUCAGA
rnacentral:lncRNA from 1 species